rnacentral:rRNA from 1 species
UACGUAGGGUGCGAGCGUUGUCCGGAAUUAUUGGGCGUAAAGAGCUCGUAGGCGGCUUGUCGCGUCGGAUGUGAAAGCCCGGGGCUUAACUCCGGGUCUGCAUUCGAUACGGGCAGGCUAGAGUUCGGUAGGGGAGAACGGAAUUCCUGGUGUAGCGGUGAAAUGCGCAGAUAUCAGGAGGAACACCGGUGGCGAAGGCGGUUCUCUGGGCCUUACCUGACGCUGAGGAGCGAAAGCGUGGGGAGCGAACAGG